GCCUGCGUGGCCAAGCGGUUACGGCGCUGCACUUGUAGUAAUUCUACGUUAUGCAGCGAUCGGCGGUUCAAAUCCGCCCGUAGGCU